CAGUCGCCGCGGUAAUACGUAGGGUGCAAGCGUUAAUCGGAAUUACUGGGCGUAAAGCGUGCGCAGGCGGUUGUGUAAGACAGAUGUGAAAUCCCCGGGCUCAACCUGGGAAUUGCGUUUGUGACUGCAUGGCUAGAGUGUGUCAGAGGGGGGUAGAAUUCCACGUGUAGCAGUGAAAUGCGUAGAUAUGUGGAGGAAUACCGAUGGCGAAGGCAGCCCCCUGGGAUAACACUGACGCUCAUGCACGAAAGCGUGGGGAGCAAACAGGAUUAGAUACCCCUGUAGUCCCUGUCUCUUAUAC
rnacentral:rRNA from 1 species